GCAGUCGUGGCCGAGUGGUUAAGGCGAUGGUCUAGAAAUCCACUGGGGUCUCCCCGCACAGGUUCGAAUCCUGUCGACUGCG
rnacentral:tRNA from 1 species